AGGACGAACGCUGGCGGCGCGCUUAACACAUGCAAGUCGAACGUGAAGCCCGGGCUUGCCUGGGUGGAAAGUGGCGAACGGGUGCGUAACACGUGAGCAACCUGCCCCGAAGACCGGGAUAACAGCGGGAAACCGCUGCUAAUACCGGAUGCCCUCAUCAUGUCGCAUGGCGAGAUGAGGAAAUGGAUUCCGCUUCGGGAUGGGCUCGCGGUCUAUCAGUCUUGUUGGUGAGGUAAUGGCUCACCAAGGCUACGACGGAUAGCUGGUCUGAGAGGAUGUCCAGCCACACUGGGACUGAGACACGGCCCAGACUCCGUACGGGAGCAG
rnacentral:rRNA from 1 species